rnacentral:lncRNA from 10 species
UUUGGUCCUGGUGUACUGAGCAUGGAGUAAAUGUAGUAUACUUUUGUACCUCACCAAGCCUUUACACCUUUGGAAGAAUAAGGGAUUAAUACUCUGUGUAAAAAUAUUGACAGCCUCAAGGAUAUUAGAAGCUGCAGAGACAGAAGGUAAUGAUUCUUGUUAAAAUGCUUCAUAAUCAGCAGGUAAAAAACUAAGCUGGAAUUGGAAAAUAUGAAGAAGCAUUUACAAGAAUAUGCGAGACAAACCCUGAGAUUUCCAAAACUGUAUAGAAAAAAAUCCAGAGACUGGGUCAAAACUAUUACUCAGCAACAAGAAAGACAGAAGCAGUAAUGAAAACCUAUUCCGGGGCUGUUAUACACGAAAACUUCAAGAACUUUAGAUACAUUAGAUCCUCAGAAGAAUAGUCUGAGAUUUUGAGUGUGAAUAGGCUUAAAGAAGUGUCGAGCCAUUGUGGAACCACUACAACCCCUGCCAUGAUUACAAUUCCCAGGGUAUGUGAUUGUACAACUGCCAAGUCAGGAACAGCCAAAAGAAGAGGCUCAAUUGGCAAGGAAAUGUAGUCUCCUGCCGACGGCCAUGGGAGUGAGUUUGGAAACCGACCCCCUAUCCCCAGUCAUCUCUUCAGGUGACAACAACUUUGCAAACAACAUUCACAGGUGGAUUGGAUCCUUUAUAUUGUGACAACAAAACCUCUAAUUGAGGACUUAAAAUAGAUUCUAUUUUUCAGACAAAGAACUAUUUACCUAGCAAUCUUUUCAAGUAGAUCAGUGUUUUAAUCAUGGCUUGACACCGUGAGGAAGCAUGCUAAACAGUCCCUCCUUGGUCAUUAAAAAUAUCAGGCUUAGGCGGCCGGGCGUGGUGGCUCACGCCUGUAAUCCCAGCACUUUGGGAGGCCAAGGCAGGAGGAUCACGAGGUCAGGAGAUCGAGACCAUCCUGGCUAACACAGUGAAACACUGUCUCUACUAAAAAUACAAAAAAUUAGCCACGCGUGGUGGCGGGUUCCUGUAGUCCCAGCUACUCGGGAGGCUGAGGCAGGAGAAUGGCGUGAGCCCGGGAGGCGGAGCUUGCAGUGAGCCGAAAUCACGCCGCUUCACUCCAGCCUGGGCGACAGAGCAGGACUCCGUCUCAAAAAAAAAAAAAAAAAAAAGAAAUUAGGCUUAGACAAGCAUAAAAAUGAAGGUCACCAUGAAACCAUGCCAAGUCCAAGAAGCAAUAUGUCAUCACUGGUGAACAGGUGGAGGAAACCUCCUGUGAGUUGAUUUUCAGGAGAUUUCAGAAACUUCAAGCAACAGCCAAAGCUGGCCGUGACUUCCUAGAUGGAGAAAAGAGAAUGAAUACAAGCGCUUCGUUGUCAAGGCAAGGGGACAAUUCUGAUGACAGCCUGGCAUCUACAUUCAAAUGAUUUCCCAGGUAUCUCCCAUUUGGAUUCACUUUGGGAUCCCAUGGAUAACAGAGGGGACCUAAAUAAAACAUGAAACAACUGUGUCACUAAAAA